rnacentral:rRNA from 1 species
GUGCCAGCCGCCGCGGUAAUACGGAGGAUGCGAGCGUUAUCCGGAUUUAUUGGGUUUAAAGGGUGCGUAGGCGGAUUAAUAAGUCAGUGGUGAAAACCUGCAGCUUAACUGUAGAAUUGCCAUUGAUACUGUUAGUCUUGAGUACGGUCAAGGUAGGCGGAAUGUGUAAUGUAGCGGUGAAAUGCUUAGAUAUUACACAGAACACCGAUUGCGAAGGCAGCUUACUGGGCCAUUACUGACGCUGAGGCACGAAAGCGUGGGGAGCGAACAGGAUUAGAUACCCUGGUAGUCCACGCCGUAAACGAUGAUCACUCGCUGUUGGCGAUACACAGUCAGCGGCUAAGCAAAAGCAUUAAGUGAUCCACCUGGGGAGUACGGCCGCAAGGCUGAAACUCAAAGGAAUUGACGGGG